UACGUAGGGGGCAAGCGUUGUCCGGAAUCAUUGGGCGUAAAGCGCGUGUAGGCGGUCCGGUAAGUCCGCUGUGAAAGUCGGGGGCUUAACCCUCGGAUGCCGGUGGAUACUGUCGGGCUUGAGUACGGAAGAGGCGAGUGGAAUUCCUGGUGUAGCGGUGGAAUGCGCAGAUAUCAGGAGGAACACCAACGGCGAAGGCAGCUCGCUGGGACGGUACUGACACUGAGGCGCGAAAGCGUGGGGGAGCGAACAGG
rnacentral:rRNA from 1 species